GGUGACGUAGCUCAGUUGGUAGAGCAAAGGACUGAAAAUCCUUGUGUCGAUGGUUCGAUUCCAUUCGUCACCA
rnacentral:tRNA from 2 species